GUCCACGCCCUAAACGAUGUCGACUGGUUGUUGGGGUUUGACACUCUCAGUAACGAAGCUAACGCGUGAAGUCGACCGCCUGGGGAGUACGGCCGCAAGGUUAAAACUCAAAGGAAUUGACGGGGACCCGCACAAGCGGUGGAUUAUGUGGAUUAAUUCGAUGCAACGCGAAAACCUUACCUACCCUUGACAUGUCCGAGAGCCCGUAGAGAUAUGGGUGUGCCCGAAAGGGAAUCGGAACACAGGUGCUGCAUGGCUGUCGU
rnacentral:rRNA from 1 species